rnacentral:rRNA from 1 species
GCAGCCGCCGCGGUAAUACGGAGGGUGCAAGCGUUAUCCGGAUUUAUUGGGUUUAAAGGGUCCGUAGGCGGAUCUGUAAGUCAGUGGUGAAAUCUCACAGCUUAACUGUGAAACUGCCAUUGAUACUGCAGGUCUUGAGUAAAUUUGAAGUGGCUGGAAUAAGUAGUGUAGCGGUGAAAUGCAUAGAUAUUACUUAGAACACCAAUUGCGAAGGCAGGUCACUAAGAUUUAACUGACGCUGAUGGACGAAAGCGUGGGGAGCGAACAGGAUUAGAUACCCGCGUAGUCCCUGUCUCUUAUAC